GUGCUCGCUUCGGCAGCACAUAUACUAAAAUUGGAAUGAAACAGACAAGAUUAGCAUGGCCCCUGCGCAAGGAUGACACACAAAUUUGUGAAGCAUUCAUAUUUUCU
rnacentral:snRNA from 1 species